UCGUACUCUUUGUAUUAGGAGGAGUGGCAGUUUUGGUGAUCAUCGUAGCAAUAAUAGCCUACGGGUUGCUCAAGAAGAAGUAUUAUGUAGCAUUCUUCUCAAAAGCACUAGUGGUUCAGCAGAGACUACUUCAAAAGGUAACGACUAUAGAAUGGUAAGUCCAGGAUAUGAGUAUGAAAGAGCAAAUGGCCAGGACCAUGAGAUGGUAACACGCAGACACCUGGGACUACAAUCAACGACUCCAGUUUGACAAAGGGAUUGUUAAGUUUCUAAAGAGUGCUGUAAAUCAGAUGAUUUACGUACAUUAGUCCGGAUUUACGUGGACAAAAACGAUCCGUUUGCUCGGCAUUAUUCUCGAAAGA